CCUACGGGAGACAGCAGUGAGGAAUAUUGGUCAAUGGACGAGAGUCUGAACCAGCCAAGUAGCGUGAAGGAUGACUGCCCUAUGGGUUGUAAACUUCUUUUAUAAAGGAAUAAAACGAGGCACGUGUGCCUUUUUGCAUGUACUUUAUGAAUAAGGAUCGGCUAACUCCGUGCCAGCAGCCGCGGUAAUACGGAGGAUCCGAGCGUUAUCCGGAUUUAUUGGGUUUAAAGGGAGCGUAGAUGGGUUGUUAAGUCAGUUGUGAAAGUUUGCGGCUCAACCGUAAAAUUGCAAUUGAUACUGGCAGUCGUGAGUACAGUUGAGGUAGGCGGAAUUCGUGGUGUAGCGGUGAAAUGCUUAGAUAUCACGAAGAACCCCGAUUGCGAAGGCAGCUUACUAAACUGUGACUGACAUUGAUGCUCGAAAGUGUAGGUAUCAAACAGGAUUAGAUACCCGGGUAGUC
rnacentral:rRNA from 1 species